CUGAGGCGUUCUGGCUGCCUGCCCAAUCUGGCUGCAGCCCGAGGCUCUGCCUCAGUUAUCUGCAGCACCCAGGUUGUCAGAGCCAACGAUCUCUGCAAAUUGCCUUUGUUUGUGGGUUGAGCUGACCAAAUAUGUGGACAGGAAGCCCACCUGAAGGGUAUUCGCAUGGCUCAUCACUUCCCAAUGAAAAGGCUGAAAGGGGGAGUUUCUUCCUUAGUACUCCAAGUGGACUAACAAAGACUUCCCCAAAAUGUGUGUGACUUCUACAACUACUUAAAAAGCAUCCAGCCAGGCACAGUGGCUCAUGUCUGUAAUCCCAGCACUUCAGGAGGCCAAGGUGGGCGGAUCACGAGGUCAGGAGUUCGAGACCAGUCUGGCCAACAUGGUGAAACCCUGUCUCUACUAAUAAUACAAAAAUUAGCCAGGCGUGGUGGCGUGCGCCUGUAGUCCCACCUACUUGGGAGGAUGAGGCAGGAGAAUUGCUUAAACCGGGGAGGUGGAGGUUGCAGUGAACCGAGAUUGCACCACUGCACUCCAGCCUGGGUGAUGAAGCAAGACUCCGUCUCAAGGAAAAAAAAAAAGCAUCUAGUUGGAUGCUUAGUAUCUCUUAUGUUUUUGACUUUAUGAUCAUGUUGGAAAAGAAAAUAUUUCUUUUCCUCACCCAUCCUUAGGCUUAUGUCUGAGAUGCCUAUAACAAGAGAAAAGCAUACAAAUUUAUUGAAUAUAAAUUUUGCAUAACACGGGAGACUUUUCGAAAUGAACACUCAAAGAAAUAGGUAAACCUGUGUAUUUUUUUAUGAUAGGUUUGACGAAGAAGUGGACAGUUGUGGAGAAGUGUGACUGGAUUAAAAAUGAUGAUUUAAUGCUCCUGACAGAUCCCAGCAACUUACAGAUGAAAGCAAGUGACCUUUCCUCAUUACUGUGAUGAAGUCUCCACCCCUGAGGAGCUAGAGUUUCAUCACCAUGAUGUGCGACCUAUGCACCGGCAUGAUGACUCACUACACGCACCACUGAGACCCCUCUUCUACAUGUGAUGAUGCACCCUCUCCCCUCUCCAUCACUCCAUAAAACCCUCCCAUCACUUUCCCUAGGGGAGAGACUGCUUUGAAGAAUGCUCCCAGUGUCCUCCUUACUUGAGCCAAGUAAUAAACCUCCUAUUAAUAAAAACCUG
rnacentral:lncRNA from 10 species